rnacentral:rRNA from 1 species
CAGUAGCCGCGGUAAAACAGAGGGUGCGAGCGUUAAUCGGAUUUACUGGGCGUAAAGCGUGCGUAGGCGGCUUCUUAAGUCGGAUGUGAAAUCCCUGAGCUUAACUUAGGAAUUGCAUUCGAUACUGGGAAGCUAGAGUAUGGGAGAGGAUGGUAGAAUUCCAGGUGUAGCGGUGAAAUGCGUAGAGAUCUGGAGGAAUACCGAUGGCGAAGGCAGCCAUCUGGCCUAAUACUGACGCUGAGGUACGAAAGCAUGGGGAGCAAACAGGAUUAGAUACCCCGUAGUCCCUGUCUCUUAUACA